CAAGGGACUGGGCGGUGGCAGAGGCAGUUCUCCUGAUAGGAGGGGGAAGAGGUGCCACAGGGCCCCUUCCCUUCUUCAAAGGUUCUUCUCUCUCCCCUCCAGUUGCAGCCUCAACUAUGUUUUUCACUUGUGGCCCAAAUGAGGCCAUGGUGGUCUCCGGGUUCUGCAGGAGCCCCCCAGUCAUGGUGGCCGGAGGCCGAGUGUUUGUCCUACCCUGCAUUCAACAAAUCCAAA
rnacentral:lncRNA from 1 species